rnacentral:rRNA from 1 species
UACGAAGGGUGCUAGCGUUGUUCGGAAUCACUGGGCGUAAAGCGCGCGUAGGCGGCUUUUCAAGUCAGGGGUGAAAUCCCACGGCUCAACCGUGGAAUUGCCUUUGAAACUGUGAAGCUAGAGUGUCGGAGGGGAUAGCGGAAUUGCUGAUGUAGAGGUGAAAUUCGUAGAUAUUAGCAGGAACACCGGUGGCGAAGGCGACUAUCUGGACGACAACUGACGCUGAGGCGCGAAAGCCAGGGGAUCAAACAGG